rfam:Neocallimastix californiae strain G1 LY90scaffold_36, whole genome shotgun sequence.
AACCUUGCACUGGAGCAUAUCCAUACCUGUGAAGUAAUAACUGAGGCUGGAUUAUUGCUGAUUGAAAACUUUACCAAUCGCCGCGAGACGACUCUCUGAGUCGGCUACGCAAUUUUUGGAACGGCCUUCGGCC